rnacentral:rRNA from 1 species
UAUGAGAGUUUGAUCCUGGCUCAGGAUGAACGCCGGCGGUGUGCCUAAUACAUGCAAGUCGAACGCGUUGGCCCAACAGAUAGAACGUGCUUGCACGGACUUGACGUUGGUUUACCAGCGAGUGGCGGACGGGUGAGUAACACGUAGGUAACCUGCCCCAAAGCGAGGGAUAACAUUUGGAAACAGAUGCUAAUACCGCAUAACAGUUUGAAUCGCAUGAUUCAAACUUAAAAGAUGGUUUCGGCUAUCACUUUGGGAUGGACCUGCGGCGCAUUAGCUUGUUGGUAGGGUAACGGCCUACCAAGGCUGUGAUGCGUAGCCGAGUUGAGAGACUGAUCGGCCACAAUGGAACUGAGACACGGUCCAUACUCCUACGGGAGGCAGCAGUAGGGAAUCUUCCACAAUGGGCGCAAGCCUGAUGGAGCAACACCGCGUGAGUGAAGAAGGGUUUCGGCUCGUAAAGCUCUGUUGUUAGAGAAGAACGUGCGUGAGAGUAACUGUUCACGCAGUGACGGUAUCUAACCAGAAAGUCACGGCUAACUACGUGCCAGCAGCCGCGGUAAUACGUAGGUGGCAAGCGUUAUCCGGAUUUAUUGGGCGUAAAGCGAGCGCAGGCGGUUUGAUAAGUCUGAUGUGAAAGCCUUUGGCUUAACCAAAGAAGUGCAUCGGAAACUGUCAGACUUGAGUGCAGAAGAGGGCAGUGGAACUCCAUGUGUAGCGGUGGAAUGCGUAGAUAUAUGGAAGAACACCAGUGGCGAAGGCGGCUGUCUGGUCUGCAACUGACGCUGAGGCUCGAAAGCAUGGGUAGCGAACAGGAUUAGAUACCCUGGUAGUCCAUGCCGUAAACGAUGAGUGCUAGGUGUUGGAGGGUUUCCGCCCUUCAGUGCCGCAGCUAACGCAUUAAGCACUCCGCCUGGGGAGUACGACCGCAAGGUUGAAACUCAAAGGAAUUGACGGGGGCCCGCACAAGCGGUGGAGCAUGUGGUUUAAUUCGAAGCUACGCGAAGAACCUUACCAGGUCUUGACAUCUUGCGCCAACCCUAGAGAUAGGGCGUUUCCUUCGGGAACG